rnacentral:rRNA from 1 species
GACGAACGCUGGCGGCGUGCUUAACACAUGCAAGUCGAACGGAAAGGCCCUGCUUUUGUGGGGUGCUCGAGUGGCGAACGGGUGAGUAACACGUGAGUAACCUGCCCUUGACUUUGGGAUAACUUCAGGAAACUGGGGCUAAUACCGGAUAGGAGCUCCUGCUGCAUGGUGGGGGUUGGAAAGUUUCGGCGGUUGGGGAUGGACUCGCGGCUUAUCAGCUUGUUGGUGGGGUAGUGGCUUACCAAGGCUUUGACGGGUAGCCGGCCUGAGAGGGUGACCGGCCACAUUGGGACUGGGAUACGGCCCCGACUCCUAAGGGAGGGAGGAGUGGGGAAUAUUGCACAAUGGGCGGAAGCCUGAUGCAGCAACGCCGCGUGCGGGAUGACGGCCUUCGGGUUGUAAACCGCCUUCGCCUGUGACGAAGCGUGAGUGACGGUAAUGGGUAAAGAAGCACCGGCUAACUACGUG